UACGUAGGGUGCAAGCGUUAAUCGGAAUUACUGGGCGUAAAGCGUGCGCAGGCGGUUUUGUAAGUCUGUCGUGAAAUCCCCGGGCUCAACCUGGGAAUUGCGAUGGAGACUGCAAGGCUAGAAUCUGGCAGAGGGGGGUAGAAUUCCACGUGUAGCAGUGAAAUGCGUAGAGAUGUGGAGGAACACCGAUGGCGAAGGCAGCCCCCUGGGUCAAGAUUGACGCUCAUGCACGAAAGGCGUGGGGAGCAAACAGGAUUAGACUACCCAGUA
rnacentral:rRNA from 1 species